rnacentral:rRNA from 1 species
AACGAACGCUGGCGGCAUGCCUAACACAUGCAAGUCGAACGAGACCUUCGGGUCUAGUGGCGCACGGGUGCGUAACGCGUGGGAACCUGCCCUUAGGUUCGGAAUAACUCCCCGAAAGGGGUGCUAAUACCGGAUAAUGUCUUCGGACCAAAGAUUUAUCGCCUUUGGAUGGGCCCGCGUUGGAUUAGCUAGUUGGUAGGGUAAAAGCCUACCAAGGCGACGAUCCGUAGCUGGUCUGAGAGGAUGAUCAGCCACACUGGGACUGAGACACGGCCCAGACUCCUACGGGAGGCAGCAGUGGGGAAUAUUGGACAAUGGGCGAAAGCCUGAUCCAGCAAUGCCGCGUGAGUGAUGAAGGCCUUAGGGUUGUAAAGCUCUUUUACCCGGGAUGAUAAUGACGGUACCGGGAGAAUAAGCUCCGGCUAACUCCGUG